GCAGGCCUAACACAUGCAAGUCGAGCGGUAGAGAGAAGCUUGCUUCUCUUGAGAGCGGCGGACGGGUGAGUAAUGCCUAGGAAUCUGCCUGGUAGUGGGGGAUAACGUUCGGAAACGGACGCUAAUACCGCAUACGUCCUACGGGAGAAAGCAGGGGACCUUCGGGCCUUGCGCUAUCAGAUGAGCCUAGGUCGGAUUAGCUAGUUGGUGAGGUAAUGGCUCACCAAGGCGACGAUCCGUAACUGGUCUGAGAGGAUGAUCAGUCACACUGGAACUGAGACACGGUCCAGACUCCUACGGGAGGCAGCAGUGGGGAAUAUUGGACAAUGGGCGAAAGCCUGAUCCAGCCAUGCCGCGUGUGUGAAGAAGGUCUUCGGAUUGUAAAGCACUUUAAGUUGGGAGGAAGGGCAGUUACCUAAUACGUGAUUGUUUUGACGUUACCGACAGAAUAAGCACCGGCUAACUCUGUGCCAGCAGCCGCGGUAAUACAGAGGGUGCAAGCGUUAAUCGGAAUUACUGGGCGUAAAGCGCGCGUAGGUGGUUAGUUAAGUUGGAUGUGAAAUCCCCGGGCUCAACCUGGGAACUGCAUUCAAAACUGACUGACUAGAGUAUGGUAGAGGGUGGUGGAAUUUCCUGUGUAGCGGUGAAAUGCGUAGAUAUAGGAAGGAACACCAGUGGCGAAGGCGACCACCUGGACUG
rnacentral:rRNA from 1 species